GUGAAUCAUCGAAUCUUUGAACGCAAAUUGCACUCUCCUCGGAGAGUAUGCCUGUUUGAGGGUCAGCCUAUAAAAAAUCGACAUCGUUGCUGUUUCGCGGUGGCGAUCGUCGGUAAUUGGGUCAUCUUAAAUCUUUUGGUUUUAAGCGACUUAAAAUUUUCUGUUUGGUACCAUGAACGUUUCUAUAAUUUAUUUCUUUAGAAGUUUAAGGUAUCGAUUUUUAUAAGAUGUGACCAUCAUAUCGGAUCUCUCGCAUAAACUUUCA
rnacentral:misc_RNA from 1 species